CUUGAACUUUAUAAGAGGUCCAGCCUGCCCAGUGACUCUGUUCAACGGCCGCGGUAUCCUAACCGUGCGAAGGUAGCGUAAUCACUUGUUCUUUAAAUGCGGACUAGUAUGAAUGGCACUACGAGGGUUAUACUGUCUCCUUUUUCUAAUCAGUGAAACUAAUUUUCCCGUGAAGAAGCGGGGAUAUAACUAUAAGACGAGAAGACCCUAUGGAGCUUUAAACAACCCAGCAAUUACUUCUAAAAUUGUAAAUUUCAGAAUAUUCAUUUCUUAAGUAAUAUGUCUGCAAGUUUUUGGUUGGGGUGACCAUGGAGAAUAACAUAACCUCCAUAUUGAAUGAAUUCCCUUCUAAGCCGAAAAUUACCAAUUGAAGCAUCAACAUACUGACAUCUAUUGACCCAAUAUAUUUGAUCAACGAACCAAGUUACC
rnacentral:rRNA from 1 species